GCUUGUCUCAAAGAUUAAGCCAUGCAUGUCUAAGUAUAAACAACUUUGUACUGUGAAACUGCGAAUGGCUCAUUAUAUCAGUUAUAGUCUACUCGAUAGUACCUUACUACUUGGAUAACCGUAGUAAUUCUAGAGCUAAUACAUGCGUAAAUACCCAACUGCUUGUCGGACGGGUAGCAUUUAUUAGAUUGAAACCAAUGCAGCUUCGGCUGGUAUUGUGUUGAGUCAUAAUAACUGUGCGGAUCGCUUUUUAAGCGAUAAAUCGAUUGAGUUUCUGCCCUAUCAGCUUUCGAUGGUACGGUAUUGGCCUACCAUGGUUACCACGGGUAACGGGGAAUUAGGGUUCGGUUCCGGAGAGGGGGCCUGAGAAAUGGCCACCACAUCCAAGGAAGGCAGCAGG
rnacentral:rRNA from 1 species